UGUAAUUAUAUAUAUUCAUUAGAAAGAUUGAAAUAAUGAUAAUAGUAAAAAUACAAUAUGCAUGAGACAAUGCUUUAUAUAAUGACCCCCUACUUCUUUUCCUCCUUUUUUUUCUUCCUUUUGUUUCCUCUUCCUCUCUUUU
rnacentral:ribozyme from 12 species